CACCUGACGGAUAGCUCAGUUAGCAGAACAUGAGAUUCUUAAUCUCAGGGUUGUAGGUUUGAGCCCCACAUUGGGUGA